UCCUAACCCUGAUAGAAGUGGAAAUACUUUUGUUCCAGGGUUCGGCACAAAAGAUUGGAACGGAUUGCUUCGCCAAUU
rnacentral:sRNA from 2 species